rnacentral:rRNA from 1 species
AUUGAACGCUGGCGGCAGGCCUAACACAUGCAAGUCGAGCGGAGCGGCGGACUGGUGAGUAAUGCCUCGGAAUCUGCCUGGUAGUGGGGGAUAACGUCCGGAAACGGGCGCUAAUACCGCAUACUAUCAGAUGAGCCUAGGUCGUAUUAGCUAGUUGGUGGGGUAAAGGCCUACCAGGGCGACGAUCCGUAACUGGUCUGAGAGGAUGAUCAGUCACACUGGAACUGAGACACGGUCCAGAUUCCUACGGGAGGAGGCAGUGGGGAAUAUUGGACAAUGGGCGAAAGCCUGCUCCAGCCAUGCCGCGGGUGUGAAGAAGGUUUUCGGAUUGUAAAGCACUUUAAGUUGGGAGGCGUUACCAACAGAGUAAGCACCGGCUAACUUCGUGCCAGCAGCCGCGGUAAUAC